UACGUAGGGGGCGAGCGUUGUCCGGAUUCAUUGGGCGUAAAGAGCUCGUAGGCGGCUUGGUAAGUCGGGUGUGAAACCUCCAGGCUCAACCUGGAGACGCCACUCGAUACUGCCAUGGCUAGAGUCCGGUAGGGGCCCACGGAAUUCCCGGUGUAGAGGUGAAAUUCGUAGAUAUCGGGAGGAACACCAGUGGCGAAGGCGGCGAUCUGGGAAGAUACGUGACGCUGAGGUGCGAAAGCGUGGGGAGCAAACAGG
rnacentral:rRNA from 1 species